UCGCUACUACCGAUUGAAUGGCUCAGUGAGGCCUUCGGACUGGCUCAGGCAGGUUGGCAACGACCCGCCAGAGCCGGAAAGUUGGUCAAACUCGGUCAUUUAGAGGAAGUAA
rnacentral:rRNA from 1 species